UAGGGAAUAUUGCACAAUGGAGGAAACUCUGAUGCAGCGACGCCGCGUGAGUGACGAAGGACUUCGGUUCGUAAAGCUCUGUUGCAAGGGAAUAAAAAAUGAAGGUACUUUGCGAGAAAGGGUCGGCUAACUUCGUGCCAGCAGCCGCGGUAAGACGAGGGACCCUAGCGUUGUUCGGAAUCAUUGGGCGUAAAGCGGGUGUAGGUGGCUUUGUAAGUCAGGUGUGAAAGCCCGGGGCUUAACCUCGGAAGUGCAUCUGAUACUGCGAAGCUUGAGUGCUGGAGAGGUUACUAGAAUUCCUGGUGUAGUGGUGAAAUACGUAGAUAUCAGGAGGAAUACCGGAGGCGAAGGCGGGUAACUGGCCAGACACUGACACUCAGACCCGAAAGCGUGGGGAUCAAACAGGAUUAGAUACCCACGUAGUCCC
rnacentral:rRNA from 1 species